GUUCCGAAAUAUCACUUACUCGAACCGUCCUGACCGCGUAGCUCAGUUGGAAGAGCAUUGGGCUAGUAUUCCAAAGGUCGUAGGUUCGAAUCCCACCGUGGCCGGGCAUAUUUUUCAAGCUCGCCCGGUGUGGACAUGCACUCAGAGUAACAUCGCAAACAUAUUAUUCACCUGAGUACACAACACCAGCACAGAAAAAAUUCAUAUUACAAGAACACAUUGGUAUUGAAGGAACUAGAUACUGUUCCGAAAUAUCACUUACUCGAACCGUCCUGACCGCGUAGCUCAGUUGGAAGAGCAUUGGGCUAGUAUUCCAAAGCUCGUAGGUUCGAAUCCCACCGUGGCCGGGCAUAUUUUUCAAGCUCGCCCGGUGUGGAUAUGCACUCAGAGUAACAUCGC